CAGCAGUAGCCGCGGUAAUACAGAGGGUGCAAGCGUUAAUCGGAAUUACUGGGCGUAAAGCGCGCGUAGGUGGUUUGUUAAGUUGGAUGUGAAAUCCCCGGGCUCAACCUGGGAACUGCAUCCAAAACUGGAAAGCUAGAGUAUGGUAGAGGGUGGUGGAAUUUCCUGUGUAGCGGUGAAAUGCGUAGAUAUAGGAAGGAACACCAGUGGCGAAGGCGACCACCUGGACUGAUACUGACACUGAGGUGCGAAAGCGUGGAGCAAACAGGAUUAGAUACCCGCGUAGUCCCUGUCUCUUAUACAC
rnacentral:rRNA from 1 species